GACAGAGGGUGCAAACGUUGUUCGGAAUUACUGGGCGUAAAGCGCGUGUAGGCGGCCCGGUAAGUCCGCUGUGAAAGUCGGGGGCUCAACCCUCGGAUGCCGGUGGAUACUGUCGGGCUAGAGUGCGGGAGAGGCGAGUGGAAUUCCUGGUGUAGCGGUGAAAUGCGCAGAUAUCAGGAGGAACACCAAUUGCGAAGGCAGCUCGCUGGAACGUAACUGACGCUGAGACGCGAAAGCGUGGGGAGCAAACAGG
rnacentral:rRNA from 1 species